GAUUGAGCUGGACAAUCAAACGGAGAUCUCACCAUCACAAACACCAAAAGCACAGACUCUGGAGUUUACGAUCUGCAGAUCAAGAGCAGAAAUAAAGACUUAUACAAGAAAUUCAAUGUUCUUGUUUGGCUGAACACGCUGAAAUAUACAGUGGGAGAUUCUGUCACUCUACAAACUGGUGUUACUGCACUGAAUGAAGAUGACCGGAUACUGUGGAAGUUUAGCGAUAAAGAUAUUUUUAUAGCUGAACUCAACCGAGCCACCAAUCAGACCAAAUUAUACAAAGGUCCUGAUGGCAGAUUCAGAGACAGACUGCAGUUAAACCAGCAAACUGGAGAUCUGACCAUCAGGAACAUCAGCAGAGUUCAUUCAGAUGUUUAUACACUUCAAAUUACCAGCGGCAAAAAGAGCACAUGCAAAGAGAUUCAUGGUUAUUGCUCAUGAAAAGACUGUGUCCGGGAUGGAGGGAGAUUCAGUCAAGCUACAGAACGAUACUGAAAUACAAAAAGAUGAUCUGGUACUGUGGAUGUUUGGACCUGAAGACAGUCUCAUCGCUAGAGGUGAAAUAUAUAAAGCAAUUUUCAGUACAAGUUUCAGUACAAGUUUCUCCACUGAAGGGAAAUUCAGAGACAGACUGAACCUGGAUCAUCAGACUGGAUCUCUGACAAUCACAAACAGCACAACUGAACACUCUGGAGUUUAUAAACUAUUGAUCAUCAGCAGCCGAGAGACCAAAU